AGUGCUGCUUACUGGGUCCUGAAUCGGCUGCGUGCUGUUCUAGGUGGGGACUUGAGAGACUGUAGAUGGGUCUAGGGAGUGGUCGAAUAUAAAUAAGCUAGAUUUUUUUUUUUUUAAUUGCAAGGGAACUCCCUAGGAAUUCCAUCCAUGGCCUUGUGGAACGAUCUGCCAAAGAAAAAAUAUUUAUCUCUGCAUCUUUCACCCUGAAGUCACGGGAACAACGCUGAGGGGCAGCCAGAGAUUAUGUGGGCUUUUCCAUGGGAAGAACCACUCUACGUUAUCACCUUCUACAUAGUAGCAGUUGAAGCCAAAUGGACAGAAAGCCCGAGACAACAUGAAGUUGUUCUACAAGUUAUUUUGGAGAAAUUGACUUACC
rnacentral:lncRNA from 1 species